rnacentral:rRNA from 1 species
UUGAACGCUGGCGGCAUGCCUUACACAUGCAAGUCGAACGGUAGAGGGGCAACCCUUGAGAGUGGCGAACGGGUGAGUAAUAUAUCGGAACGUGCCCAGUCGUGGGGGAUAACGCAGCGAAAGCUGCGCUAAUACCGCAUACGAUCAUGGAUGAAAGCGGGGGAUCGCAAGACCUCGCGCGAUUGGAGCGGCCGAUAUCAGAUUAGGUAGUUGGUGGGGUAAAAGCCCACCAAGCCGACGAUCUGUAGCUG